ACUUCAGUUCAGGGACAAUCAGAAACGGA
rnacentral:sRNA from 1 species